rnacentral:rRNA from 1 species
AUUGAACGCUGGCGGCAGGCCUAACACAUGCCAGUCGAACGGUAACAGGGAUCAGCUUGCUGAUUCGCUGACGAGUGGCGGACGGGUGAGUAAUGUCUGGGAAACUGCCUGAUGGAGGGGGAUAACUACUGGAAACGGUAGCUAAUACCGCAUAACGUCGCAAGACCAAAGAGGGGGACCUUCGGGCCUCUUGCCAUCGGAUGUGCCCAGAUGGGAUUGGCUAGUAGGUGGGGUAACGGCUCACCUAGGCGACGAUCCCUAGCUGGUCUGAGGGGAUGACCAGCCACACUGGAACUGAGACACGGUCCAGACUCCUAAGGGAGGCAGCAGUGGGGAAUAUUGCACAAUGGGCGCAAGCCUGAUGCAGCCAUGCGGCGUGUAUGAAGAAGGCCUUCGGGUUGUAAAGUACUUUCAGCGGGGAGGAAGGGAGUAAAGUUAAUACCUUUGCUCAUUGACGUUACCCGCAGAAGAAGCACCGGCUAACUCCGUG